AACCAUGGAUGUAAUAACACAAACACAGCUCGGUGAUACAUGUAGCAGUGGUGGACAGACUGACCUCUCACUACAACUGUUAGACCAACAGUGAAUCUGGACUCCCCCACCCCUGACUCUGCUCGCCGGUGGAUACAACGGGAAACACCAUAAAGAGAAAUAUCUUCUGCUCUGAAGACACUCAAUAACAGCUGCAGAGGAAGCUCCUCAGUUAUUGGUUGAAAGCUGGGAUUGUCUUCCAGUAUGAGCGAAUUAACAGACUUUCUCAGAGGCCAAAUAGUUGGUGCCCAGGUGGCAGGUCUGUCUGUCAGAGAAACUGCCCAGUUAUGUGAUGUGUCAGGUCGCACUGUCCUCAAAGUCAUGAGUGUUUACAACAUGCACGGAGACAUGGCAUUAGCAAAGAAGAACAGCAGGCGCAAGCCAAAGAGUAAAACGAAGAGGGCAAAAGCUGAAGUUACUGAAGGAGCUGCUACCGGGAAACCACUGUCUGACUCUGAGAGGGACACACCAAGACCUGAAGAGAGUGAGACACCUGAGUCUCAGACCAGAGACAAGGAAUAACGCUUCAGACUUUCUGCUACAUCUAGACUGGUUCAUGUUUGCGUAAAGCAUGCUUUCUUUUAACCCACAAUUUUACUUACUUUGAAGAAGUUUCAUUUAUGUUUUUAGGUUUAAAACAUUUUUUGUCAGAAUUGAAAAUGUAGAUAGAUAGAUUCUUUAUUGUCAUUGCUUCGAAAUACACAACGAGAUCAAGUUUGGCAGCAUUUAUUAAAAUAAAUCAUUAAAAUAUAUAAGUAUAUGAUAAAAUAAGAUAUGCAUAUGAUAUAACGAAACUGUCAGUAUUGCACAGUUAUAGCAGGAACAGUUCAUGAGGCAAUGUACAUGGAAUAUAAAUCUAUUCUGUCAGCAGGCUUUCAGCAAGCUUUCUUGAUCAGUAACUUUAGUUUAAACCAGUGCUUUUCUCUGUGAGGGUGCAGCUAGCAAAAGUUUUUGUCCAACUUGUUGUUGAGGGGGAAACACUAAUGGAAAAUAAUAUGAUGUCGUGGUAAUUUUUUCCUUUAACUGAGAAAGAAUUGAGGAUGAGGAGAAGCCUGAAAGGGGGUGAGAAUGACUCAGAGAGAAGUAAAGGUGUUAAAGUCAACCUGUUUUGUUAAUUCAAAAUCACAAAUGUUUCUGUGUUUGUGUUAUUGAUGGAAGUGUAUUGUGCAAUGAUUUCAAUAAGAGACAACUUUUUCUUCUCUGUUUCUGUCUUCCAUCCUUUUCCUGUGUUGAGUCACUGUUCUCACCAGUUGUGUAAACAUGUUCUGUGACCAUCAGAAGCAGCAGCAGAUAAAGAAUGGAGUGACCUUAAAAACAGCCGUGAGAGUUGUAGCACUAUUUCCUCCUAAUUCAACAGUCUCCCACAGUAGAUGAAUCAGUAAUAAAUAAUCCUUAGUUGCAGCUGAGUCCCUGCCAGUCUGUCUUCUGUUGGAUCACUGUUUAGUCAAUCUGUGUAAUGACCAUCAGAAGCCGUGGCAGAUGAAGAGCAGAGUGGCUGUGAAAAAUGUAAAGCUGUUUCUUUAUAACUGAUAAGUCUCCCAUUCGUAAUUAUUCAAUAAUAAAUAUCAAUACUUGCAGCUCUAAUUUGUUUUUUCCAUGUGGUGUCAUAGUCUGACAUCCCACCCCACCCUGCACCAGUGAGAGGGAACCUUCAGAGUAGUGCCACAGAAAGUAUUACAACAAUGAUGUUUACUGCUCAGUUCUUUUACUAUGCAAAAAUCGCCAUUUCAGUGAUGAAGUGAGCUCUGUGGAGCAGAUGACAUAACGCUUUUAUUCUGAAAAUGUCUUACCGGAUGCGUGUUCUCCCUGAUGAAACACAAACACAGCUCGGUGAUACAUGUAGCAGUGGUGGACAGACUGACCUCUCACUACAACUGUUACACAGUGCAGCUGAGCCGUUGAUCAGUGGAUCUUUCCUGACCCUGGAUCUCUCUGCCCAUGUGUACACAAUAAUGGAAACACUGUAUGACAGAGGGCUCUGGAUCUCCUAGUUGCAGUCAUUACAGAGCCUGCUACCUGUUGGCUCCAAAAAAAACACUUUUAAUAGAAGUGUUGAAAGCAAUAUGAGUGACUUAACAGAGUUUGAAAGAUGCCAAAUAGUUGCUGCACGACUUUCUGGUGCAUCUGUCACAAAAACUGCACAGCUGUUUAAUGUGGCCAGGGGAACAGUCUCCAGAGUUAUGACUGUAUAUAUCAAACAUGGACGAACAGCAUCAGCAAAGAAGAACAGUGGGCGCAAGUCAAAGCUCACCGAAAAGGACAGACAAACACUUCUCAGGAUAGUUGAUGAACACCCUGAGUAUACAGCCUCUAAGAUAACCUCUGAGUUGAACAGACACCUGUCUCACACCGUGUCAGUAAAAACUGUUCGACGCGAGCUUCACAAAGCUGGUAUUUUUAGAGGAGCAGGCAAUCGGAAAUCAGAGACUGAGACUGAUGGAAAGAACACUAAACCUGAACGUGACACACAAAAACCCAGUGAAGAGAGCACAAGACCCGAAAUGCAAACAGAUGUCAAAGAGUGUGGUACACAACAGCCUGUGGGAGACAAAAUAAUAUCUGAACCCCAGGUUAGUGUGGAAGAGUCCAACACAGAAAUAUCUGAAGAUAGGAUAUGACCUGAGCUCAUGUCAGCAAAGAAGAGCACAGCAAACAAGCCUGGCGACGAAAGAACAGGAGCUGAACCUCAGACCAGGGGAAAGUAAUUACACUGCCUGAUGUGUUGUACUUCAGCCUCUCUACAGCAUCUAGAUUGAUCAUGUGAGGGGAAAACCACAGAAUGCCUUCAUCCCUUAAUGUCUUCAACUAUCAGAUAUGCUCAUGGAUUUUUAAUAACAUUUGAGUUUCUAGAUUUGAUUAUUUAUUUGGCAUGAAUGCAUCAUAGUGCAGUAUUGAGGUUUUUUCAUUUUUCCUGGUUUACAAGCAAACAUUAUGACUUCACUUUAGACUGUUGUGAAUUAGCCAAAAUAAUUGACCACAGCUCUACUGCAGAUGUUCAACAGUAUUUUAUGUUAUCGUUUAAUGUGAAACACUCAAGUCUGUAAACAGAACCAACUGCAAAAUUCAGGGUUCGUUUCUAAUUUGUAGACCAAUGUCAUACUGAGAUAGCACUGCUAUUUUUCACCAUAUCUGAUUAUGUGAGUGGUGCUGUAAAGCAAAGCCUUUUUGAGGUUAUACGUAUCAGAUCUUGUGUAAUGGUUUGAAACCAAGUGGUAACUACAAUCCCGUAAGAGCCUUAAAAUAUACAGUAGUUACACUGCUGCCUCAAAAGGUCAUACUGCAUUGAAGUCAACAUAAAGCCCUCUGUUCACAGUUGAAAACCUUCAUAUUGUGUCUUCUAACAGGCUUUGGUAUUCAAAAACACAAUAUAUCAUGUUUAAUUAUGGCGAUAUUAAGGCUUGAAGAGAAGUGUGUGUUUUGAGGCUCGUUUCAAAUGUUUCAAAGAUUUCAGAAUGCACCUUCAGAAAACUGGGAGAGUGCAGAUGUGGCACUUCUGUCUACCCUUUAUAAAAGGUAAAAUGCGUCAUUCAUCUGUACAUAUUUAUUCUGCUGCAGAUGUAUGAUGAUAACUGAUGACUCCACCAUCAUGUAUUGAAUCUAAAUGAUCAAAUCCCCACCAAGCUUUUCUUUGUCUACUAAGUUUAUCACUUUUGUAUAGCUUGCAUGUACAUAGCUGUUGCAGGGAUGGGAGUGGGACGCAGCGCAUCAGACAGCACAUGUGAUGAUUGUACUGCAUAUUUAAACAAUACACUAAAAACUAUUAAAGUUGUCUGUACUUUCAAAACCACAUCAGCUAACAAAGGAUAAUGAUGAUGGUCAUUGCUGUGUAAUACACCAUGCACUCGCUAAGUAUAUCUUUUUCAAAGUAUAUGUCUUUUUCAAAGGGUGAAUACUAACAAGUGGUUUCAAAUGAUUUCAUAAAAUCCUGCUGAAUCUUGUUUGAGAAGUCUUGAGCCAGAGAGUUGUUCCUGUGUUUGUAUGAGCAUUCAAUAAAUCAUACAGCUAUAAUU